UACGGAGGGGGCAAGCGUUGUUCGGAAUUACUGGGCGUAAAGGGCGCGCAGGCGGCUGCUCAAGUCAGGCGUGAAAGGCCUGGGCUCAACCCGGGAAUUGCGCUUGAGACUGGGCUGGCUUGAGUGCGGGAGAGGAUGGUGGAAUUCCCAGUGUAGAGGUGAAAUUCGUAGAUAUCGGGAGGAACACCAGUGGCGAAGGCGACUACCUGGCCUGUUCUUGACGCUGAGGCGCGAAAGCUAGGGGAGCAAACGGG
rnacentral:rRNA from 1 species